AUACAUUUCGGAAUAUGUUCAAAGGCUUUUGAUAUGUUCUGAUUUGACAUACAUUUCAGCAGACAAUAAAGACUAACAAAAUUAUUUCUUUACAAUACAUUUGACAGGUCUCUGCAGAUUAAAGGAAAUGAUGCUUUACACCCCUCUAUAAAGUUCUCGUUUUGAAUUGGUUUACAUACCAGGAAAAUGUAGAUGCACCUUACACUUUAUAACCCCUAUAAAAUCAUUUGAAUGAUGAUACUUUGCUACCUGGACAAAGAAACACAUUUGCGGAUAAAUUUACAUCAUAGAAAAAUACAUGACAAAGAUUUCCAUUUGCAGAGGUAUACAAAUACAUAGGUUUGAAAAAGUUUUGCGACGGUCAUAAAUAUAUAUAAAUUCUAAACUUCAAAAUGGUGUGAUUAGGUGUUUAUAUAUUUUAUAAACCGCGGUCUCUCAUAACCGCCCAUAGGAGGGUAUAGUACAAGAAAUACUGAUAUUUACUGCAUGUAAAGACAAGAUAAACUAAAUGCAGCGGUUUGUAAAUAUAUGUAAAUGUCGGUCUCUGAAAACAUUUACAUAACAUUUGCGUACCUCUUCAAAUCCGGGAUUUCGUGUAG
rnacentral:lncRNA from 1 species